GGGGAUAACCGGGAGAAAUCCCGACUAAUACCGCGUAACGCCGCGGGGCUGCAUGGCCCGGCGGCCAAAGGAAGCGAUUCCGGCGGGGGAUGGGCAUGCGGCGCAUUAGCUAGUCGGCGGGGUAACGGCCCACCGAGGCGACGAUGCGUAGGGGUUCUGAGAGGAAGGUCCCCCACACUGGUACUGAGACACGGACCAGACUCCUACGGGAGGCAGCAGUGAGGAAUAUUGGUCAAUGGGCGGGAGCCUGAACCAGCCAAGUCGCGUGAGGGAAGACGGUCCUAUGGAUUGUAAACCUCUUUUGCCGGGGAGCAACGGGGUCCUUGCGAGGGCCUAAUGAGAGUACCCGGAGAAAAAGCAUCGGCUAACUCCGUGCCAGCAGCCGCGGUAAUACGGAGGAUGCGAGCGUUAUCCGGAUUUAUUGGGUUUAAAGGGUGCGUAGGCGGGCUGUUAAGUCAGCGGUCAAAUGUCGGGGCUCAACCCCGGCCUGCCGUUGAAACUGGCGGCCUCGAGUGGGCGAGAAGUAUGCGGAAUGCGUGGUGUAGCGGUGAAAUGCAUAGAUAUCACGCAGAACUCCGAUUGCGAAGGCAGCAUACCGGCGCCCUACUGACGCUGAGGCACGAAAGCGUGGGUAUCGAACAGGAUUAGAUACCCUGGUAGUCCACGCAGUAAACG
rnacentral:rRNA from 1 species